UUGGAUCCCGCCUUGCAUCAA
rnacentral:siRNA from 1 species